rnacentral:siRNA from 1 species
UCUUAAUAUUGGGCUUGACGA